rnacentral:tRNA from 1 species
GGGUCUGUAGUUAAAUGGUAUAAUUUCUGCCUCCAGAGCAGAAGUUGGGGGUUCGAUUCCCUCCAGGCCCA